rnacentral:rRNA from 1 species
CUACGGGAGGCAGCAGUGGGGAAUAUUGGACAAUGGGCGCAAGCCUGACUCAGCAACGCCGCGUGGAUGACGAAGGCCUUCGGGUUGUAAAAUCCUUUUCUUGGGGACGAUAAUGACGGUACCUGAGGAAUAAGUUCCGGCUAACUACGUGCCAGCAGCCGCGGUAAAACGUAGGGAACAAGCGUUAUCCGGAUUUACUGGGCGUAAAGCGCAUGUAGGUGGCAUUGAAAGUUGGACGUGAAAACUCCAGGCUUAACUGGGAGAGGUCGUACAAAACUACAAAGCUAGAGGAUGGAAGAGGAGAGUGGAAUUCCCGGUGUAGUGGUGGAAUGCGUAGAUAUCGGGAGGAACACCAGUGGUGAAAACGGCUCUCUGGUCCGUACCUGACACUGAGAUGCGAAAGCGUGGGGAGCGAACGGGAUUAGAUACCCGUGUAGUCC